rnacentral:rRNA from 2 species
CUUUCGGGUCGUAAAACUCUGUUGUUGGAGAAGAAUGGUCGGCAGAGUAACUGUUGUCGGCGUGACGGUAUCCAACCAGAAAGCCACGGCUAACUACGUGCCAGCAGCCGCGGUAAUACGUAGGUGGCAAGCGUUAUCCGGAUUUAUUGGGCGUAAAGCGAGCGCAGGCGGUUUUUUAAGUCUGAUGUGAAAGCCCUCGGCUUAACCGAGGAAGCGCAUCGGAAACUGGGAAACUUGAGUGCAGAAGAGGACAGUGGAACUCCAUGUGUAGCGGUGAAAUGCGUAGAUAUAUGGAAGAACACCAGUGGCGAAGGCGGCUGUCUGGUCUGUAACUGACGCUGAGGCUCGAAAGCAUGGGUAGCGAACAGGAUUAGAUACCCUGGUAGUCCAUGCCGUAAACGAUGAAUGCUAGGUGUUGGAGGGUUUCCGCCCUUCAGUGCCGCAGCUAACGCAUUAAGCAUUCCGCCUGGGGAGUACGACCGCAAGGUUGAAACUCAAAGGAAUUGACGGGGGCCCGCACAAGCGGUGGAGCAUGUGGUUUAAUUCGAAGCAACGCGAAGAACCUUACCAGGUCUUGACAUCUUUUGAUCACCUGAGAGAUCAGGUUUCCCCUUCGGGGGCAAAAUGACAGGUGGUGCAUGGUUGUCGUCAGCUCGUGUCGUGAGAUGUUGGGUUAAGUCCCGCAACGAGCGCAACCCUUAUGACUAGUUGCCAGCAUUUAGUUGGGCACUCUAGUAAGACUGCCGGUGACAAACCGGAGGAAGGUGGGGAUGACGUCAAAUCAUCAUGCCCCUUAUGACCUGGGCUACACACGUGCUACAAUGGAUGGUACAACGAGUUGCGAGACCGCGAGGUCAAGCUAAUCUCUUAAAGCCAUUCUCAGUUCGGACUGUAGGCUGCAACUCGCCUACACGAAGUCGGAAUCGCUAGUAAUCGCGGAUCAGCACGCCGCGGUGAAUACGUUCCCGGGCCUUGUACACACCGCCCGUCACACCAUGAGAGUUUGUAACACCCGAAGCCGGUGGCGUAACCC